UAACUUGCAUACAUUACACGCUCUUUAGAAAAAUAGUGCAGAUGAUCUUAGUCAACCACCCAGAAAGCUAAAAAAGAUCUCCCAUGCAAGUAUUCUGAAACUGAAGGAAGGGCAAAAAACUGUAAUUGAGGUAGAAGGUGAGCACACUUACAAUGAGAAGUAUAACCUUUCAUCAAUAAACGUAUAUUGUGACACAAUUAUUUUUAUAGUAUUAAAAGAGCCUUACAUGAUUAUCAAAGAUCGUGAAAAGUAAGUAGCUCUCUCCUUUCUUGUGUAGUUUUAACGUGUUCAGUAAAUAAAAAUAAUAAUGAUUUGGCUUUAUUACAACCUGAAUCUCAUGAUUAAAUUUGAAUUGUUACCGUGAACGUAUUGUUAAUAUGCCUGUUUCUUUAUUAUGUUUUUAGUUUGUUCAGGCCAUUAAUAUAUACGAAGAUCCCUAAUCUUCAUUUUGAAAAGGUUUGUCUGUUUGAAAUUGACAAGGAAAUCACAAGACAUGACUCGUGUGAUACAAGGCAUCUUAACAGUUCACAUCUAAAUUAGUAUGGUGCUCUUUUUUAUUUCUAGGGUCACUUUUUUAAAGUAAGAGUCUUCGUGUUUUAAUUUUAUGCUAACUACAACUUCUUAACUGUUUCUGGAAAAGUAUUACUUGGUGCUUUGCAGCUAGUGGUAUGACAAAUCAACAACGUAGAAAAUGCCUAGAUGUAUUUUCUACAAUUCCUGCAUUACACGUUGUUUUAUGAAAGAUAACCGUAUUUUGACCUGAGCCUCAAUUUUCUUUGCAAAAUGACUGAAUAUAGGGUGAAAUUUUCUUAUUUUUUUCUUAAUUUUUAUUCCUCUUUGUUUUCUUUAUAAAUAACUACGAUAUUUUAUCGACAUUUGAACUAACAUUUUUAUUGAAGAAAAAGACCUCUUUUGUUAUUUCGGGAUAAAACUUUGUUAGUAAUUGAUUCCACUAUUUUGAAUACAUUUUGCCUCCAGAGAUCCAUGAAUGCUGUAUAGUUAAUUUACUGAAAAAAAAGAAACUUGAUUGUGUUCUUCUGAAAUUACGGUAAUUUUGGUAACUGUAAAUCUAAAUAUCAAGGUCUUUAAAAAUUGAAUCUUGACAAGCUGAAACUGGGGAUUUUCCUAAAAUGUUUUUACGAUUUCAAGGUUUUUGAGCGUCAUCUAAUAAUCUACGCAUUUGUAAAAGAAAGCGCAAAAGUAUUCGUUUUAUCAUAACUCCAAC